GGUUCCAAUAAGGAUGUGGACUCUUGUUCAGAGGACAUACUUUCAAAAGUUGAAGAAAUCCUCUUAAGCUGCAAAGAGAUCAAACCAGCAGACAGGGAUUAUAAGAGAACAACAAGGCCGGAACUAUGUUCAAAGUGGCUUGCUUUGUUGACAAUGGAAAAGGCGUGCUUGUCUGUUGUUGCAUUAGAGGGUAAAUUCUCCAAUCAAAAUUUUGGAUCAUGAUUCUUUAGGUCUGAUUUUAUUAGUCAAAGCAAUAAAAUCAAAUAAUAAGAUAAGUAAUAUCUUACAGCAUUACAUGGAUGAUUUUCUCAGGUUAUUAUCUCACUUGUUAUUGAUUGUUGUCAUAUUUAGAACUUUGAGUAUUUUUCUUACUUUUAAUUUAAUAAACCUAAUUUAGUAGCAAGGUUUGCCAUCACAUCAUCAGUCUGAAGUGCUAUAACAUUUUUACAGAUACAUCUGACAAGGUGUUAGAACUCGGAGGAAAUUUCAAAGAAACAUUAAGGCAGUUGGGUGGCCUUGAUGAUAUUUUUAAUGUCAUGGUGAAUUGCCAUUCAGAACUGGAGGUAAGACCUUAUUUGUGUGUAUGUAUGUUCUCUAACAGUUUAUACAAAACUAUUAAAUUGGCAUUAUUUGUUAUUUUGUUCUGCUAUGGUAAAGGAUGGUUAACUUUUGAGCCUUGUACAAUUCAUGCUCCAGUAUACUUGGAGCUGCAAUCUGAUGAAUAUUAUUUUGAGCAACAUGAAAAACAUGUUGCAAGACAAGGAUAUGUUGCAGUAAUUGCUUUGGUUGAAAUGUUUUAGAUUUCAAAUGUACUGUUGGGUUUGUGUUGGGUUUCAACUCUAGCCUACCCCAACUUGCUCGGGACUAAAAGACUUUGUUGUUGUUGUUCAUGUACUCUUACUGUGAUUACCAAUACAUUUUGAACUUUGGAGAAAUGAUGAAGUAAUCCUUUGAAGGCCUUGAAAUUUGAAUUUCCCAUCCCAUAUACUCCCAAGCUGAUGAUUAUUAACAGUCCCAUCAAAUAGUGUCAUCAAUGGGGUGUUUGGUUCGAGGAAUCACCUUAUCCUUGAUGGGGUGGUCCAUCAUCAGGUGAUCCUAUAUGAAUUUGGUGGGAUGAUCUCAUUCUCCAUACAUAUACUAAUUGUGUGCAUAUGAGGAAUGUGAUGAUGAUAGAUCACCCUAUUCCAAUACUUAAACCAAACAUUAAUUUGAGGUGUGAGAUGAUGAUGGACCACCUCUUUACAAACCGAAUAAAACAUAGAUGUCUUUUUGAGUUUUUGUUCUGUUCAGUAUUUUCUUUUUUUAUCUUUCUAGACAUCUUGCUUGCACACUACCUCUUAAUUAAGACCCACCCAAAUAUUUUUCUUUACCUGAAAAGAAAGAAACGCAGCAUUCUGGAAUAUGUCUAGGCCUAGGGCUACUUUUUAGGCUAAAACAGCUAUCAUGCGAGAACGAUUAACUAGAAGCUAGCAGGUGGUGUCUGGUCAUGCUGUUGUAAUUAGGGUAGUUGGGUUUGCUUCCAAACUGCAAUAAGAUUCCUUCCUAAGCAUAGUUGUUUAGAUUUUGACAGAAUAAGUUUCCAAAUUACAGGUUUGUUCAAAUACUGCGUAUUCAGAACAGGGGGUCUCUUUCUUUGAAAUCUUACGUUUGCUACCUCUGUUAUCUUCUUUUCAUCCCUAUAGUGCAUACAAUUAAUAUCAGACAUGAAAUAGUAUAGUUAACCCAAAUUUGUAAACACAACAUUAAACAUUUGAGUACAUAUAACAUACACCACAAAAAUUUGAAGGUUUGAGUCCAAAUUUACACCAAAUAUUUUUAUAUAGCCAAAUCUUCACUGAUCAAUAUAGAGGAAGAGCUUAAAACAGUCAUCUUCAUCGUUCCUCCCCAAUUUGAUCUCCUAGGCAGAUAAGCCUCACUCUGAUCCUCAUAAUCUUCACAAAGUGGCAGAUAGAGACAUGUCUUCCAUUGAUGCUUGUGUGCCUACUUUACAUGCUUGUAUCCAAGAGUAGACAUCCGUUGUCUCAAGGAAUUUAAUUAUCUAACAUUUGUUCUAACAGAUGAAGUGCAUGUCGUUAGAGUUGGUUGCAUGUACUAUAUAUGUGGACAUGUGAGCACGUGUUAACUUGGUUUUUAAUAUUUACCUUCCCAUCUUUGGACAUGUGAGCAUGGUAUUGUAAUGCAGUUCUUCAACGAAUGGCCCACAAUAGUGCUUGCCCUUUUGAACUCAGCCAUAUUCAAAAUCAUCACAUGCUCACAUAUUCAGUAAGGAAAGCAAUAGAUUGACAAUUAACUUAUUUCGAAAACAGUGGAUUGUGCUUCUUCAGUUCACCAUCAUAUUCAAUUUUGUGAUUGUAUGCUGCUGUUACAUGGUAUUGGUAAAAAAUUCCUUCAAGUGUUCAUGGUAUUUUUAAUUUAGCAUUCAUGGUUGAAAAUGAUAAGCUAAUGCUUUGUAGCUCAUACGUGAGCUGUAGUGUCGUCCUGCAUUUAACAAAUGUUAAGGACAAUUUUAAGUGCAAAGUUACAAUAUUAUCAACAUUUUGCCAUCAUGUUUUUCUUCUCUUUGCAUGUGAAUUUUUUUGUUCAAUAAGAUACAUGUAUCCUUCACAACCGAUAUUGUUAUGUGAGUGGUCUAAGUUUUUUAAUCCUUCCAGUAGUAGCCAUAACUUACAAAUCUUCCACUGAUGAUUACAGAGGACCACGAAGGGCUUGCAUAUUGCACUGGAUACUUCAGCUUGCAGCAGGUGUUGUGAAGAGUUUCAGUGCACUUCGUAGUUCAUGGAUCAAGAAUUUCAUUCUGGCUUUUGCGUCUUCGGUGUUCUCUUUCUAUUUUGAGACGUUGUUUGUGUUGGGGCAUGAGAAAAUUUGUGUGUUUUUAAGGGCUUAUGUGCUAUUACUAUUCUCUCUAUGGUGUACGAAUCUUUAAAGUGAAUAUGAUCUUUGUAUUGGUUUAGUUGUGUAUUGGUUAUUGAUAAAAUUUUUGUGAGAUAUUGAGGUUAAGAUAAUAUGUAUUGUUCGUUUUCGUGCAAGCAUUGUGCACUAAUAUUUUAUUUCUCUAAAUUGCUUCAGUUGCUCUACCUGUUUUAGAGGAUUCAUCUUUAGAUGGGUUGAAUGUUGUCAUAAUACUUAUCCAUAUGUAAGUAAUGUAGAAAUCAUGCCACAACAUAUAUCCUCGCAACAUAAAAGAUAAAAUGGUUAUAUUUGUGAGUUAAAAUAAUUUUGAUAGUCACAACUCAUUGUCCCCUUAUGACAGGCUUAGGAUCUCCUUUUUAUAAUUUUCACCCUGCAAUACAAAAUUAUUCUAUGGAGGUCAUGAUACAUCGUCAUAUAUUGUAUUACCAACUUAGGCUGAGAUCUCUGAUAAGAAAAAGUACCCACAACUGUACAAGAUGGUUAUAAAGCAUAUGAUGCAUGGACCGUGCGGGUUGCUAAAUCCUAAAUGCCCAUGCACUAAGGGUCAUCCUUCAUGCAAACAUACAAAAGACUUAUCAAUAUCUCUACAAAGGAAUAUAUUAGUGUACGAUUGUCGAUAUAUUGUUUGUUUUCAUGUAAUUGUUGUGCACUCGCGUUUUAUUAAUAAUUUGUGAGUCGUCGCAAAUCGUCGCAACGCAGAGACACCGAACUAUCAUAUAUAUAGGUCUGCAUGAUAUUGAUGGUUGCAAUGUAGUGGUAAAACAGGUAGAUUAAAAUAACAAAAUGUAUAUGUAUAGCCAGGAUCACCAAUGAAUUACAAAAUCUUUUUUCAUAACAAUAUAACACAUUUAUAUAUAAGUUAUCAUGAUAUUAAUAUGUUCCCAUUGCAACGCACGGGAACUAACCUAGUAAUUAAUUAAUUUAUUACCUCCUUUCGACGAACCAGCCGGCACCAAAAGAUGGAUCACCGUGCACGGAGCGUGCGUCCGUUGCGGGAAACGACGGGGAUCUAGGCGACGCCGUGACGGUGAUGCUCCCGUUCACGUUUCGCAGCUUUCGCUGCACCCCUUUGAUUC
rnacentral:lncRNA from 1 species